ACUAAUGCACCGGAUCCCAUCAGACUCCGAAAUUAAACUUGCUGGGCGAGAGUAGUACUAAGAUGGGUGACCUCUUGGGAAGUCCUCGUGUUGCACCCC
rnacentral:rRNA from 1 species